GAGGGGCCCUACGUGUUUUGCUCUGCAGUAGAACGGAUGAAAAUAAAAGUACAGUAUCUGAUACAGGAAAUAGUGCGAGAAGAGUGUGACGCAGCGGACUGCGGGGGCCCAGGUCACCUUAAAGGGGCUGUUUAAAAGGAUAACCAAGCAGCUUGUAGCAAAGGCACAGUCCUCUUUUUAGGAAGUUGGCUUCCUUGGGUUAUACCAGCCGGAGAAGCCGGUAUCAGAAGGAUUCAGCGUCUAGGGAUUAAGGUUCCAGAGACAGCAAGAAGGAGAGCCAGAGAAAGGAUGUGCUGAGAAGACGUUGUGAGAACCCACUUCACAGAGAACAGCUCCAGCUCAGAAAGAGAGACCUGGACUGGAGAGACAAGAACUAAGUGCAGCUGGACUGGUGAAUGCAAACUGCAGCUGGAUUGGCCUGAUUACGGGCGUUGGGAUGGUGCACACUGUAGUCAGGAAAAUAGAAAAAGUGCUGAGAAUGAAGCGGGAGCCUGAUUGUGAUCGCUGUCUGGAUGGAUACCAUCGGCCGGUGCUCUACGUUCCAGUAAGCAGGAGGUCUACAGACAUGGUCCCCAGACAUGGUCCCUGGAGUCGUGUAACGUGGUUCAGCAAGUAUAACUGGUCGCCUCCUGUCUGGACAUUAUGACAAUUUAGCGUAAGCAUAUAUACUGAAAGGAUUGUUAUUAAAAGGGAAGGUGUCACCAUGAUCCAUUGUUUAAAGUGUAAGUAUUUUUAUAAACCUGUAUGGUUUUGUUAGAUUAACCCUUCAGAGUGGUGACAAUGUGAUUUUAGUGCUUUCUCCAUUUCAGGACCAGAGUCGGGCUGUUUACCAGUAGUAAACACACAGGCACUUCCUUUCCUUUACUUCUCUGGCCAAUCAAAACACAAACUCCUCUUUGCUAUUGUAGUGUCGCAGAGCAGAAACACCUUAUGCUACUUGAACUCUGUUCGGGUGGUUGCUGUUCCCUACGGUGUCUGUCUCUGAUCAAAGUCUAAGUCCUAUUUUGUCCUGGUAUAAAAAUGUAUUUUAUUCUGGUUUUCAGUGUUUCCUGUCUACUGUGUCUUUAACUAUUGUACAAGGGUUGACUGCGUUCUGCUGUAAAAGCUGGUGAGUAGCCACAUGUCCCCCUGCACACCCCCUCCCAUAGACUUUAAUGGAGGGGGUAUGGUGUGACGUCAUGACCACAGCCGCCCGAACCCAGCGCUCUGAACAUAAUGUUCAGAAUGCUGGGUGUCUGCACCCCAGCGGCGGGACCCCUGCGAUCAGACAUCUUAUCCCUUAUCUUAUCUUAUUAAGAUGUCUAGCAACAGAGUACCCCUUUAAGGUCGGUUGUCAAUACAAUUAUCUUGCUUUCACCCUGAAGGACUGCUUGAGUAAACGUGGUGUGAGAUUUUUGUAAGCAACAAUGAAGACCGGCAAGACGUGUUAUUUCCCAAACUCCAUGUCCUAAGUAGGUCUUCCCGAAUCCCCGAUACAGUCUCAGGGCUUUAUAGAACGUCUUGAAGACCAGUAACUUGGAGUUUCCUUGCAGGAUUGGUCCCGGGUACUUUUACUGUCUGCUAAUAAGGUGUUGUACUGCUGGGAACACUGUCCAGGAUAGAGUUGGUACAAUUAAAAGGUUUUAAGAUCUUAUUCUGGUGGUGGAUAAUGAUUCAACCACUUAGAUAUUCCCAGUAGGAAGCAGAGGAGGAGAUGAAGCGUUCAAAGCAAAUUCAAAGCCUGCUCCACCCUACAAGCAUUGCAGAACAGACGAUCCAGGAGAAUCCUGAUCUUCAAAAGAAGAGACGGACGUUUUUUCACAGCGCACCCUGCUGUCAGUUAUUAUUACUACAAUAAGGAUAACCUGUUUCAUGGGUCAGAAUGCCUUCUUCAUCAGCUCCACCAAAUACUUGCACACUUGGCAGACACUUCAAGCAUUGGCAUAGAACCUGUUUUACCUUGUGGUAGAAGUUUAUGUUUUUGGCUCCACCGUAAAUAAUUAGUAUGGCAAUCACGAUCUCCAUGGUUAUCUGGUAUAGAAAAUCCAUUUGCAUUCUCUAUCUACGACGAGCUUCUUAACAGGAGGACUGGAUGUAUGCACCGCAGGACCCCAAUAAAACCACAAAGUAUGAAAACGUGACAGCGACCCCUUAUGUGCUCUUUUCAAUGGUCUUCUAUUAACUGCGCCAAUAAUUUUAAAACAAAUGAAUCUUUUUUUUCCCCCCUGGUAAUAAUUAACUUACCUUAUGAAUAUUGUGUGACGUGCAUGGCUUGCCAGGCAGUGUCUGGACAUACAAAAGGGGGCCUCCGGAAUGUUUAUGAAUCUGCUGGAGCAUUGUCUCCUAUGGGUGCGGACUGAUAAUGUUCCCCCAGCAUUGUAUCAGGGGUCCCGAACAUUAGGUAAAUUAUAAUUUAUUAUAUUUUUAUUUAAUAUUUUUUUUAACUAAAAGGGUACUUCAGUGGAAAACUAUAUAUAUAUUUUUUUUUCAAAUGAAAUGAACUGGUAGCAGAAAGUUAAACAGAUUUGUAAAUUACUUCUAUUAAAAAUUCUUAAUCCUUCCAGUACUUAUCAGCUGCUGUAUGCUCCAGAGGAUGUUGUGUAGUUCUUUCCAGUCUGACCACAGUGCUCUCUGCUGACACCUCUGUCCAUUUCAGGAACUGUCCAGAGUACAAGCAAAUCCCCAUAGCAAACCUCUCCUACUCUGGACAGUUCCUGACAUGGACAGAGGUGUCAGCAGAGAGCACUGUGGUUAGACAGCAU